CCCCUAGGGGUGGGCCAAAAAUGCAGUUGUGCGUUCUAUGCUAUGGUAGAACGCAGCGUACGGCUCAGUAACACGUGGCUAACCUACCCUUAGGACCGGAACAAUCUCGGGAAACUGAGAUUAAUUCCAGAUAGGUGAGGCUACCUGGAAUGGUUCCUAACCGAAAAGGUAUUAAGACCAUGCUUCUUUUUACUGCCUAAGGAUGGGGCCGCGGCCGAUCAGGUUGUUGGUGAGGUAACGGCUCACCAAGCCUAUAACCGGUACGGGCCAUGAGAGUGGUAGCCCGGAGAUGGGCACUGAGACAAGGUCCCAGGCCCUACGGGGCGCAGCAGGCGCGAAACCUCCACAAUGCGCGAAAGCGUGAUGGGGUUACCCCGAGUGCCGUCCGUUGAGGAGGGCUUUUCCCCAGUGUAAGGAGCUGGGGGAAUAAAGGGGGGGCAAGACUGGUGUCAGCCGCCGCGGUAAUACCAGCCCCCUGAGUUAUAGGGACGAUUAUUUAGCCUAAAGCGUUCGUAGCCGGCUUUGCAAGUCUUUCGUUAAAUCUAACGACUCAAUCGUUAGGCCGCGGAAGAUACUGCUUGGCUUGAGGGCGGGAGAGGUCGACGGUAUUCCCGGGGUAGGGGUGAAAUCCAAUAAUCCCGGGAGGACCACCAGUGGCGAAGGCGAUCGACCAGAACGCGCCUGACGGUGAUGGACGAAAGCUGGGGUAGCGAACCGGAUUAGACACCCGGGUAGUCCCAGCUGUAAACGGUGCGAGCUAGGUGUUGGGGUAGCUACGAGCUACUCCAGUGCCGCAGAGAAGUCGUUAAGCUCGCCGCUUGGGAGUACGGCCGCAAGGUUGAAACUUAAAGAAAUUGGCGGGGGAGCACCACAAGGGUGAAGCCUGCGGUUUAAUUGGAGUCAACGCCCGGG
rnacentral:rRNA from 1 species